rnacentral:rRNA from 1 species
UACUCCAACCCCUGUGACAUACCAAUUGUUGCCUCGGCGGAUCAGCCCGCUCCCGGUAAAACGGGACGGCCCGCCAGAGGACCCCUAAACUCUGUUUCUAUAUGUAACUUCUGAGUAAAACCAUAAAUAAAUCAAAACUUUCAACAACGGAUCUCUUGGUUCUGGCAUCGAUGAAGAACGCAGCAAAAUGCGAUAAGUAAUGUGAAUUGCAGAAUUCAGUGAAUCAUCGAAUCUUUGAACGCACAUUGCGCCCGCCAGUAUUCUGGCGGGCAUGCCUGUUCGAGCGUCAUUUCAACCCUCAAGCCCAGCUUGGUGUUGGGACUCGCGAGUCAAAUCGCGUUCCCCAAAUUGAUUGGCGGUCACGUCGAGCUUCCAUAGCGUAGUAGUAAAACCCUCGUUACUGGUAAUCGUCGCGGCCACGCCGUUAAACCCCAACUUCUGAAUGUUGACCUCGGAUCAGGUAGGAAUACCCGCUGAACUUAAGCAUAUCAAUAA